rnacentral:misc_RNA from 1 species
AACUUUUAGCAACGGAUCACUUGGCUCUCGCAUCGAUGAAGAACGCAGCGAAAUGCGAUAAGUAAUGUGAAUUGCAGAAUUCCGUGAGUCAUCGAAUCUUUGAACGCACAUUGCGCCCUUUGGCAUUCCGAAGGGCAUGCCUGUUCGAGCGUCAUUAUCACCCCUCAAGCUUGGCUUGUUGUUGGGCCUCUGUCGUUGAUGACGGGCCCCAAAGACAAUGACGGCGUCCCCGAGACCCCUGGUACAAUGAGCUUUUUAACGAGGCACGUACUGCGGUGGGCUUGCGGACCCGGUCUCAACCACAUUUUUCUAAGGUUGACCUCGGAUCAGGUAGGGAUACCCGCUGAACUUAAGCAUAUCAAUAAGCGGAGGCU